ensembl:lncRNA
ACCAUCCUAAAGGACAGUCUUCUGAUGGUAGGUAGGUAGGUAACCAUCCUAAAGGACAGUUUUCUGAUGGUAGGUAGGUAGGUAACCAUCCUAAAGGGCAGCCUUCUGAUGGUAGGUAGGUAGGUAGCCAUCCUAAAGGACAGCCUUCUGAUGGUAGGUAGGUAGGUAGCCAUCCUAAAGGACAGCCUUCUGAUGGUAGGUAGGUAACCAUCCUAAAGGACAGCCUUCUGAUGGUAGGUAGGUAGGUACCCAUCCUAAAUGACAGCCUUCUGAUGGUAGUUAGGUAACCAUCCUAAAGGACAGCCUUCUGAUGGUAGGUAGGUAGCCAUCCUAAAGGACAGUCUUCUGAUGGUAGGUAG